UACGUAGGGGGCUAGCGUUGUCCGGAAUCAUUGGGCGUAAAGCGCGUGUAGGCGGUCCGGUAAGUCCGCUGUGAAAGUCAGGGGCUCAACCCUUGGAUGCCGGUGGAUACUGUCGGGCUUGAGUACGGAAGAGGCGAGUGGAAUUCCUGGUGUAGCGGUGAAAUGCGCAGAUAUCAGGAGGAACACCAAUUGCGAAGGCAGCUCGCUGGGACGUUACUGACGCUGAGACGCGAAAGCGUGGGGAGCGAACAGG
rnacentral:rRNA from 1 species